UGGAAGUAAAAAGUCGUAACAAGGUCUCCGUUGGUGAACCAGCGGAGGGAUCAUUACCGAGUUUACAACUCCCAAACCCAAUGUGAACCAUACCAAACUGUUGCCUCGGCGGGGUCACGCCCCGGGUGCGUCGCAGCCCCGGAACCAGGCGCCCGCCGGAGGGACCAACCAAACUCUUUUCUGUAGUCCCCUCGCGGACGUUAUUUCUUACAGCUCUGAGCAAAAAUUCAAAAUGAAUCAAAACUUUCAACAACGGAUCUCUUGGUUCUGGCAUCGAUGAAGAACGCAGCGAAAUGCGAUAAGUAAUGUGAAUUGCAGAAUUCAGUGAAUCAUCGAAUCUUUGAACGCACAUUGCGCCCGCCAGUAUUCUGGCGGGCAUGCCUGUCCGAGCGUCAUUUCAACCCUCGAACCCCUCCGGGGGGUCGGCGUUGGGGACCUCGGGAGCCCCUAAGACGGGAUCCCGGCCCCGAAAUACAGUGGCGGUCUCGCCGCAGCCUCUCCUGCGCAGUAGUUUGCACAACUCGCACCGGGAGCGCGGCGCGUCCACGUCCGUAAAACACCCAACUUCUGAAAUGUUGACCUCGGAUCAGGUAGGAAUACCCGCUGAACUUAAGCAUAUCAAUAAGCGGAGGA
rnacentral:rRNA from 1 species